AUGAACCUGAGCUGAAGUCAGAUGCUUAACCAACUGAAUCACCCAGGCGCCCCUAGUCUCAUUUUAAAAUGGAGCUACACUUAACAGUCGUUUAAAAAUGAAUAACACUCCGUUUCUUGACUCCCGUUGCCUCAUUUGUUACGCCUGAUGCUGUCCUACCCCAAAACGUGGAACCAGCACCUGAUGUCCUCCCCAGGGGGACCUCAGAUAUUCUAGAAGUAUACUCGGGAAAACCUCCAGUAAGUAAGGGAUUAAAAUCAAGAACGCAGCUGAAGCUGUAAAAUCACAAAAAGAGUUCAGCACUUGACGUAUAACAGGAAUAUCUGAUGAAUGGAAAUGGCCAAAGGAUGGGAAGCAAAAGAACUAGAAACCCCACCAGCUGACUAAUCAAACCUUGAAGAAUACAGUAUUGGGAGACUGCAAACCUCGUACUGUGCCCCAGUAUCCCCUCACUCCAGAAUAAUAGAAGGGCACCAGCGAGAGGAGGCAUCUAGGGAUGUGCCUUGGUGAAACCUCACAAAUCCUGUGGACCCCAGGGGUUGUCUUCAGAAGCAAAUACACUUGGUACCUAAGUCAAGGUGGAGAAGACAGGGAUGAGUGUCUCCAGUGACUGACUGACACAGAUCAACAAACAGGAUCAUCAUCAAGACUGUGUCCAGGUCACAUGAUUAGCAACUGGUGAGUAGGGAUCAAUCCCAUGUGCGUUUGCCUUUGUUGCCUGCCUUUUAUUCACUAGGCCUUAAGAACUUUUGAAUCGAAUAAUAAGAUAGGUAUUGAAUUGUAAUAAAUAAUUCCAUACAUGUCAUAAGAAAUGCAGGAAUAGAGUGAGGUAGGGGCAAGGAACGGGGAGUCACUAGUGCCAAAGGGCUCAGGCAAUGUUAUAUAGCAAAGUAAUUUUUUUAGCUUGUUUGAGCUAGGAUGAGUUUUGGAAGCAAUGAUUGGAAAGGAAGUUGUUCGGGGGAAGGAAAUCCUCUGCCAAGCCUGGCUUUAUAAAAGGUUUUGGCUUGUGCAAAGAAGGUUGAAAAGCUGGGCUGCCCAACCACAGCACAGAUCUGCCAGGGAACAGGUCCACCCUGGGAAGGCGGGCCGAGCCAGAAUGGGAAGGCAAUGCAGAGUCAUGCAAUUUUAUAAAUACAGAAAUACUCGUGAUCGGAUUUGUGUUCAGAAAGAACUAACAUAGGGGAGAAUGGAAAGUAGACCGGGAGAGGCAAACAUAGGGAAGGAAGACCCAAGAAGGGGAGUCCCUUUGCAGUGAUCCAGGAGAACCAUGAUAAGGCCACCGAGGGCAAGGUACAGAUUUUGCAGUUCCUUCUUGCAAUGGAAUUACCAGAAGUUGGUGGGUAAUGGUAUGUCUGGAGUGCAAAUGAAUGCAUUAUUUGAGAAUGUUUAGGUCUUUAUUUUGUGCAACAGGUGGAUUGGGAUGAUUGUUAACAGGACAGGAAAUCAGGGCAAAGCCUCCCUGUGGUGGCCAUCAGUAUUUAUAUGAGCUCCUGCAGGAGGAAUUGUAUGCAGGGAGAUGAAAGCUAGCCAAGAGGCAGUGGCCAGAAGAAGAGCAACAUUUAACAGCUUAAGUAUAAUGGAACUCUUGGCAUGUCUUCGCUCAGACUUUGAGCCAUUUUUUUUUCUUCAAAUAAAUGCCCUAAAUAUUCAAGAAAUGUAAGGUUUUAAUGGAAAGACCUCUGACGUAGUUAGCUUCUAGUGCCAAAUUUGCCACUAAUUAAUUAUGUGGCCUUUGGCAUGUCACUUAAUCUAACUUAGACUUGUCAUCCUCAUCCGUAAAACUAGAUCUCCAAGGUCUCUCCUUUUUGCUUUCAAAUGCAGUGAUUCUUACGGGUUUCUUUGAAUUAGAGGAUUUUAAUUGAAGCAUAUCAUAGGCUAUUGUGCCAGAUGCUUCCCAAAUAUUAGUGGUGGGAAGAAACAUUGUAAUGGUAAUUCUAACUUCGUGACUGCAGAACUUUCAGGCUUUUGCACCUCAAAGUCAUCAGUAAUUAGGCCUGGGCAUUUCUUUUUCUUUCUGCUUCUACUGAGAACAAAUUCUAUAGGCUAGAAAGAUGAUGCAACACACUGGGGAUCUGAGAAAAAUUAUCAGGACUAGGUGGAAAUUUUCCCCAAUCAUCACUGCAAUGUAUUAAUAUAAUGGUCAUCAUUAGUGGUGUUUGUGAGCAGAAGUGCUACAUCACGUAAAAAUGCCUUCUUUGUUUGAAAAGCCCAUGUUCCAGAUAGGAGAUAACAUUUGAACAUUGAAUUCUUACAACAACAGUGUAAAGCCUUACCACAAAACUGUAAUGUAGUGUUAUAUAUUGUAUGUAGAUAUCACUCUGUCUGUAAUAUCACUCAACAUAUUGACUCUGCAAUGAGGGAGAGAGAUGAUUAAUCCCACAGCUUUGCCCCUCGCGUUCCAAUUAUUGUACAUAAUAAAAAAAAAGUCCCACUAGCUUGGACUUAGUGCUCCUCAAAGAGAGACACUGUAGAUGAGUUUGUCUUGUCGCUCGUCAUACUAAAAUGACCCAUUUCUGAAAAGACGCCUCACUCCCUCAGAGCCCAGAAGAAUUCAAGCGAAGACUUUGCAAGGUGAAUUAACGGCACCAAGCAUAUAGACUUAUGCCAAGCUAGUAAACCAGAGAAAAUAAUUUCAGCCUUCAUCCAGAAAUUAAAUGGUUAUUGAUUGAUAAGGAAGAUACUGUAACCUUUCAGAUUAAAUUAAGAAAUGUUGCUGAACACAAUUAAAAUUUUUCUAAUGUAAUACUGUUUGCAGAGUGCAUUUUUGACUAAACUCCAUCUCUGAGGUUAAUUACCAUGUCUUGGGUCCAGGAAUAAUAGAUUAAGUGGAAAGUUGGCUUCAAAGUUAAAGAAUGGGAAGAAAUAAGAAGUACUCAGAAGUGAUUUAUGUCUUCCUGAUGAAUUUGAGGGAGGAGAGCCAAGUAACCACACCACGCUUCUUCUGUGUUAAAGGUUUGCGGCCAAGGGAGUGGUAUAAAAUUAAAAGGGUGUUCAUUCCAGGAGCAGCUCCACAUUUUGCUCAUAAUUUGGAACUAUCUCAUUCUUGCUAGUUAGGCUGAAGGUAAAACGUCUUAUUGAAUGUUCUGGAGACAUUCUAGGGCCUAUGAGCGGCCUUUAUUUCUAAGGAACUCACCACUCUUUAGGGAAGUCAAGAAACAGUUACAACCUCCAACCACAAAAUCUGUUUCAAAGUGACAAGAGCUGUGUGAUAUUUUAGAGAAGCUAAAAAGAGCUGAGGUUUUGUCUUGAAUAUGUUAUUAAUUGGCUGGUUUACACAAGCUAUCCAGCUUAACCCGCCCCUUCUUUCUCAUCUGUCAAAUGAAAGAGUUGGGUUAAGUGUUUUCUAAAGUUGCUCUAGUUCUAUAAUAUACGGAUAAUAAAUGUUUUGAAAUUAGAAAUAGUAAAAUGUAAAUAUGUACCUUUAAUUUCAGCUGUCGGGGUCGUGGCUCCCACCCUGCUCACCGGAACUAUUCUGGAUAGAGACUAUGCACUUUUAGGGAAUGUGAACAAAACUUCUGUUAUGUAAAGCAGGCCUCCAAAAAGAAAAACCCAAGAAAGGGCCCUUUAAAAGUGUAGCUCCCUGUACUAAAAAAAGACUAAAAGGCCUUCAUGACACAUUCAGUGAAGAGAUACCCUUAUAACUUUUACCCGUUAAUUGAUGCAUAAAAGGUUGUGAAGAUUAAUGUACAUCAAAAUCAAAACUAAAUUGAAUUUUUGACAUUUUUGAAAAUAAAAACCCCAAAGAAUACAUAGGUGCCUUUUGAUUUGUCACAGCUGGAAGACUCUGAAUCAUGAAGCGCUCUAGGAGAGGCCAUUAAAUAGCGUUAGAUGGUUUGUCAGUGUGGAGGAAAAGUAAUUGAAGAACCAAACUGUGUGUAUGGGCACUGCAUUUUAAAAUAUUUACCAAACAGAGAUAAAGUGAGUUUUUUUUUCUCC